rnacentral:rRNA from 1 species
UACGGAGUGGGCUAGCGUUGUUCGGAAUUACUGGGCGUAAAGCGCACGUAGGCGGCGAUUUAAGUCAGAGGUGAAAGCCCGGGGCUCAACCCCGGAAUAGCCUUUGAGACUGGAUUGCUAGAAUCUUGGAGAGGCGAGUGGAAUUCCGAGUGUAGAGGUGAAAUUCGUAGAUAUUCGGAAGAACACCAGUGGCGAAGGCGGCUCGCUGGACAAGUAUUGACGCUGAGGUGCGAAAGCGUGGGGAGCAAACAGG